rnacentral:rRNA from 1 species
UACGGAGGGGGCUAGCGUUGUCCGGAAUUAUUGGGCGUAAAGAGCUCGUAGGCGGUGUGUCGCGUCGGCCGUGAAAACCUGUGGCUUAACUAUGGGCUUGCGGUCGAUACGGGCAUCACUGGAGUUCGGCAGGGGAGACUGGAAUUCCUGGUGUAGCGGUGAAAUGCGCAGAUAUCAGGAGGAACACCGGUGGCGAAGGCGGGUCUCUGGGCCGAUACUGACGCUGAGGAGCGAAAGCGUGGGGAGCGAACAGG